rnacentral:rRNA from 1 species
CGCGAACGCUGGCGGCAGGCCUAACACAUGCAAGUCGAACGGAUCCUUCGGGAUUAGUGGCGGACGGGUGAGUAACACGUGGGAACGUGCCCUUUGGUUCGGAACAACUCAGGGAAACUUGAGCUAAUACCGGAUGUGCCCUUCGGGGGAAAGAUUUAUCGCCAUUGGAGCGGCCCGCGUCUGAUUAGCUAGUUGGUGGGGUAAAGGCCCACCAAGGCGACGAUCAGUAGCUGGUCUGAGAGGAUGAUCAGCCACAUUGGGACUGAGACACGGCCCAAACUCCUACGGGAGGCAGCAGUGGGGAAUCUUGCGCAAUGGGCGAAAGCCUGACGCAGCCAUGCCGCGUGAAUGAUGAAGGUCUUAGGAUUGUAAAAUUCUUUCACCGGGGACGAUAAUGACGGUACCCGGAGAAGAAGCCCCGGCUAACUUCGUGCCAGCCGCCGCCGUAA